rnacentral:lncRNA from 1 species
UAUAUAUAUUACAAUUUGAAAUAUGCUUAUAGCUUAAAAAAUAAAAAAAUAGUUAGCUAGAAGAAAGUAUUAGAAAAAUUGAUGAGUCUCAAUUUUGCUCUAUAUUACUAAAAUUUCAUUUAAGAAAGAACUUUUGUAAAGAUAUCUAUAAAUUAAAAAUUCGUAGGAAUAUAAUUUAAAUUAUUUUCUCCAUAUGCUAAAAUUUCUUU